rnacentral:rRNA from 1 species
UACGUAGGGUGCGAGCGUUAAUCGGAAUUACUGGGCGUAAAGCGUGCGCAGGCGGUUUUGUAAGUUUUGUCGUGAAAUCCCCGGGCUCAACCUGGGAAUGGCGAUGAAGACUGCAAGGCUAGAAUCUGGCAGAGGGGGGUAGAAUUCCACGUGUAGCAGUGAAAUGCGUAGAGAUGUGGAGGAACACCGAUGGCGAAGGCAGCCCCCUGGGUCAAGAUUGACGCUCAUGCACGAAAGCGUGGG